rnacentral:rRNA from 1 species
AUUGAACGCUGGCGGAAUGCUUUACACAUGCAAGUCGAACGGCAGCACGGACUUCGGUCUGGUGGCGAGUGGCGAACGGGUGAGUAAUGUAUCGGAACGUGCCCAGUCGUGGGGGAUAACGUAGUGAAAAUUACGCUAAUACCGCAUACGAUCUAUGGAUGAAAGCGGGGGAUCGCAAGACCUCGCGCGAUUGGAGCGGCCGAUAUCAGAUUAGGUAGUUGGUGGGGUAAAGGCCCACCAAGCCAACGAUCUGUAGCUGGUCUGAGAGGACGACUAGCCACACUGGAACUGAGACCCGGUCCCGACUCCUACGGGAGGCAGCAGUGGGGAAUUUUGGACAAUGGGCGAAAGCCUGAUCCAGCCAUUCCGCGUGCAGGAUGAAGGCCCUCGGGUUGUAAACUGCUUUUGUACAGAACGAAAAGGUUUCUACUAAUACUAGGAGCUCAUGACGGUACUGUAAGAAUAAGCACCGGCUAACUACGUGCCAGCCGCCGCGGUAA